ACUGUGGUCUUCCUUAUCCACCGAACACUCCACCGUACGGACCAGCUGCCGGUUCGUGAGCUUUGAGCACCGGCCUUGGCAGUGGAGGAGCUGCGCGAAGCGAGGCGAAGCACGGUGGCCGGUGGUAGGGGCGGCGAGGGAAGCGAGGCGGGGACGCGGGGGGUCGGCGGACGCGUCCGCUGACUCAAUCGGCGAGAGCAGGAGGUGCGUGGUGCGGGGGAGCAGUCCGGGCACCCAACGGUCGGCACCACGGCGGCCGCGGCGGAGGCCAAAGGCGGCGGGUGCGGGGACCCCGGGGCCGCGGCGAGGCGGCGCUGGGAUCUGCCCUGCGAGGCGGCCGGGAACAUGAGCGUAACAGUUGCCUUCAGCCAUGGGUAAAGAGAAGACUCAGAUCAACAUUAUGGUCAUAGGCUGGUAUCUUGAAGGAUGGCCAGACCCGCCAAUUUUGGACACUAUUGCUUCCAUAUUCCUCAAACUUUUCUGUGGGCGAUCUGCAAGACCUGAAGGCACAGGCCAGACACUGGAUGGAUCAUAGUUCCCUGGUUGAGGCUCCAUUGAGACAAACACGAGGAGAUGAAUUCCCCCUUUUUUUACCCAUCGUUCUAGCCUUGUAUCACAAACCAUCUGCUUAGUAGAGCACAUGCUGUUGGUUUCCUACCCGUUGAGCACCAUCACGAUGAUUCCUACCCAUUGCACUCUUGUUGCUCUUAUGUGGUGAAACCGGCUUCAACCGGGCAUCUCAUUUGUUUUGAUUAUUGUUCGUUCCUUGCAGAGAAAGGGGUCUGAGGGCACUGGAGCAGAGACUGGCAGAGAAGCUGGCCACGGUCAGGAAUGCGGAGGGCACGCUUUCGCCGAAGCAGCAGCGGGAGGACGCGAAGGAUGAUGCUUCUGAUAAAGUCUGAACCCUCUUCUUUGGAUGAUCACCUGUUGAACCGACCAUAUCCUCCCCUUUCAUGGAGACGGAUGCUGCAGACCACGAUCGGUGCCGCGCCGGGCCUGGAUUUCGACCAUGAAGGAGUACGAGAAGUUAAGUUUUUUUUUCUGGACCAGAACUAUGCAGGAUCUGAAUCUCUGAAACUUUAAAAUGAACAAUAAGUCAUGCACACAAACUUUCUUAGCUGAAUGUGCAUGCAAAUUUUUUAAAGAACGCAGAGACUGUAAUUAGUGGUUAAGAUCUGAUCCAAACUUUUGGUGUGACUGGUCAUCUAUAGGGAUUUCAAAGCGUCCAACGUUUUUCUGGACGCCAAAUUCCACCAAAUUCCAGACAAAACUGUAAUAAUGACUUGUUGGGAUUGACCAGACUUGCUGACAAGUUGCAAUGCACUCCCUAUAUAUCAGGGCAAUGAAGAUGCCAUUUUUCUAUUGCCCGUGCUAACGCUACGGUACCUGUCAACACUGCAGAGUUGCAGUUUACACAAGUAGUAGAAAAAGCACAGUGGAAUGCACAACUGAACCUCCGAUCCAUGCAUAUACAACGAUGAGAAAAGCAAGAUACGAAGGAAAGACCUGACGAAGCCGAUGUGAUUCAGUCGAUGACUUCAAAUCCCAAGCGCAGCGAUCGUUGGAAGACGGAGUUGGAUCGCGCGACCUAGCGGAUCUAGCUGCGGCACCAGCCCGUUCACGGCCGGUGCAUCGCGCGAGCCCGUCCACGGCCGGUGCAUCGCGCGACCUAGCCAAUAUAGCUGCGGCACCCAGCCGGCCGGGCGUCAGUUGUAGGAGGCGGAAAUUGUGUAUUCAAAAAUUCGAUUGACGGGAGGUUUUUUUUUCAGUAUCGACGGAAAAAUUCGAUUGAUGGGAGGCAAAAUUCGAUUCACGGGAGUCUGAGGAGAGGUUUAGGCAUUUUUUUAGUAAGGCUGUGGUAUUUGCGUUUCAUAUUGACGGAGGAACGGAGGAGAGGCUGAGUGCGAUUCGUAUUGACGGAGGAGAGGCUGAGGUUGCGGCAUUUGCGAUUCGUUUUCACGGAGGAGGCUGAGGAGAGGUUGCGGUAGGUGUGUAAGGUCUUCAUCAUACUUCUAAUCUGGACCGUCUAAUCCGUAGGAACUGUGCUGUGAGUCGUUGAUCUUGCAGGUGAGACUUGCCUAGAGAAGAUUUCAAUUAUAGUAGAGAUUACUUGUCUCUGAACUAAUGUAAGGA